UCGCAGCACAGACUGGGUGAAUUAAUGAACAUAAGUGUGAAAAUUCUCUCACAAAACAAUCCUUGUUAUGUGACAGUAUCCUUGCGUUUUUGUAAGUGGGUAUACUGAAAUCCUUGACCUUUUACUAGUGGGUAUACUCCGUAUACCUGCAUAUCACGUAGACUACACCACUGCAUUUAAAACAUAUAAAACAUAAAAAUGAAA